GAUGAACGCUAGCUACAGGCUUAACACAUGCAAGUCGAACGGAGUGGCGAACGGGUGAGUAAUGUAUCGGAACGUGCCCAGUAGCGGGGGAUAACUACGCGAAAGCGUAGCUAAUACCGCAUACUAUUGGAGCGGCCGGUAUCGGAUUAGCUAGUUGGUGGGGUAACGGCUCACCCAGGCCACGAUCCGUAGCGGGUUUGAGAGGACGACCAGCCACACUGGGACUGAGACACGGCCCAGACUCCUACGGGAGGCAGCAGUGAGGAAUAAUGGUCAAUGGACGGAAGUCUGAACCAGCCAAGUAGCGUGCAGGAGGACGGCCUAUGGGUUGUAAACUGCUUUUGUAUGGGGAUAGGUACCAUACGAAUAAGGACCGGCUAAUUCCGUGCCAGCAGCCGCGGUAAUUC
rnacentral:rRNA from 1 species